UACGUAGGUGACAAGCGUUGUCCGGAUUUACUGGGCGUAAAGAGCGCGCAGGCGGUCGAUCAAGUCGAGUGUGAAAGCCCCCGGCUCAACUGGGGAGGGUCAUUCGAUACUGAUCGACUCGAAGGCAGGAGAGGGAAGUGGAAUUCCCGGUGUAGUGGUGAAAUGCGUAGAUAUCGGGAGGAACACCAGUGGCGAAGGCGACCACCUGGACUGAUACUGACACUGAGGUGCGAAAGCGUGGGGAGCAAACAGG
rnacentral:rRNA from 1 species